AAGGACACUGAGAUUUUCCUGUAUACAGGAGAGAGACUUUGAAGGCUGUGUAGAGGAGCCUGAGCUUUUAAUUGACCAACCUGAGUGACAACCAGCUCUCUUGAAUGAAUCGAGUUUGGAAGUCAAAGGUCCACUGUAUUUGUAUCCGAUAUGAGCACUGGGAUGAUAGGUAAUGAUGUCUAUGAUUUCAGAGAAUUACAUACAACUAUUAUACUCCCUUCUCCUUCUUCUCAGGUGCUGUCUCCAGGACCAACCUCAUGGUUUCACUAUAGACUUUAAGGGAUCACGAGGAAGGAAUAAUGGUGCCAGCAGGCACCUGGGAAAGGGGCUGCAGAAGAAAGAAUGGUUUCAAGAGACCCUUGGGGAAGGACUCCAAUAACUGACAGUCUUUACUUGCUUGCUUGCAUAAGUGCCAAACUGUCUGUUGUUGUUUAUUUGUUUCUUGUUUAUUUCACAGGACCACGUACACAUAGUUGCUUUCUGAUUUGUGGUUUAACCUUGCCCUGUACUUAAAAGGACUGGGUCCCAGGGCAUCGUGGCUGUCUCACAUGGUUCCCUAGCAACCAAAUGAGACAGGGAAAUGUGCACAGUUGCAUCACCACAAGAUGUUAGGUCAAUUAAUAUUCAUUAGAAGUGCCUGUGUUUGACUGCUGGGAGACAUUAUGGAGAAAAAUAUCUUUGUUGCUGGAGUGGGGGAUGGAAGAAGAGAAGGGACAGUGAAUAUGUAUAUUAUAUACUGCAGACAUGUUUCUUAUAUUAGUACAUUGGCCCAUUUGUACAUGUAUGUAAAGAUUUUCAAAAAAUUAUUGUUUUUACAAUUAUCCUUCUAGGUUUAUUAUAUGGGAAUAGAUUUCAGAAACAAAGGAAGAUUCUACCUCAAGUACAGCUUUGUGGGAAAAGGACUCAAAUCAACUUUUGCAUCAUUUCUACAGCCAGAACCAGCUGCAUUUGGAACUAACUGCCUCUCAUUUGUUUACAAGAUGUUGAGAUUAUCCUGGAUUAUUUGAGUGGGCCCUAAGUGCAACCUAUGUAUCCUCAUAAGAAGGAGAUCUGACACAGAAGAAGAGGAGAAGGCAACAGGACCAAAGAGGCAGAGGCAGAGAUUUGAAGGAUGUGACCAUAAGGCUAAGAGUGUUGGCUGCUACCAAAGCUGCGCGAGGGCAAAUCACAACACGUUUCAUGUGCGGUCAUAUCUGAAGUAGAGGAGCAUGUGAAGGAAUUCCUGAGAAAACCUCCAGGCAGGAGUUGAGAAGGAGAAUGCUUGAGAAGGAAGCGGUCAUCCCAGGGUGCGUUGAAGUCUGACGGAAGAUAACUUCACCAACAACUGCCUGGAGACCAACAUCAUCUGUCCCAGAUAAGGUUCUUGAUUUCACACAGCAGAAACUAGCCUUGUUGCCUUUAGCAAAUAAAGGAAUUUAUAAGGACAUGGGAGCCAACAGAAUGCACUGAAGACUGCAGGAGCAAGCUUGGAAAAUAAGCAAAAACCAAAGAUUUCCUGGAGGCUAGGCUGGAGGAGGAAUGUGGCCUGAUGAGGCCAUGGCUGCUGCCUCUGACUACUAUAGGACGUUGUUGCUGGAUAUCGACUACCAAUGAACAAGUGUGGUAAUAAGCCUCCAAAAUAGUACCUGAUGAUCUUCACUCUCAAGUUCACACACCCUUGCCUACUCCCUUCCCAUAUUGCAUGGGAUUUUCCUGUGUAUCUAAUGGGAUAUUAUGGAAGUGAUUGUGUGUGCCUUUCCUGGCUAGGUUA